GACGAACGCUGGCGGCGUGCUUAACACAUGCAAGUCGUACGGUAAGGCCCUUUCGGGGGUCCACGAGUGGCGAGCGGGUGAGUAACACGUGAGUAACCUGCCCACAACUUUGGGAUAACGCUAGGAAACUGGUGCUAAUACUGGAUAUGUUCUCCUGCUGCAUGGUGGGGGUUGGAAAGCUCCGGCGGUUGUGGAUGGACUCGCGGCCUAUCAGCUUGUUGGUGGGGUAGUGGCCUACCAAGGCGGCGACGGGUAGCCGGCCUGAGAGGGUGACCGGCCACAUUGGGACUGAGAUACGGCCCAGACUCCUACGGGAGGCAGCAGUGGGGAAUAUUGCACAAUGGGCGCAAGCCUGAUGCAGCAACGCCGCGUGCGGGAUGACGGCCUUCGGGUUGUAAACCGCUUUCAGCAGGGACGAAGCUUUUUGUGACGGUACCUGCAGAAGAAGCACCGGCUAACUACGUG
rnacentral:rRNA from 1 species